AUGAUGGGGGGACGAGGGGGCUACAGGCAGAGAUCAGCUCCCAGCCUAGGAUGCAAAAACCACCUAUUCUCCACUUUCUGUGGUGCCCACACCCCCUGCCCUCUUCUUGUUUGGGCUUGCACCAAGAAUGGCAUUCAGGAUUCCUGCAUUCUCUCUCUCUCUCUCUUUUUUUUUUUUUUUUUUAGUGUUUGGAUUGGCUGUUUGCCAAGGCAACUGAAGAGCAUUUCCAAAAAGCAGCCUCAGACAUACGUUUUAGUGCUACCAUUCUGUGGCUCUGUGGAAGAAGUGCUUUCUGAUAAAGUUUGCAAGUCAACUCCAAGGUGAAGUGAAGGGCUCCGGGAUCAGAGAGUGACUUCCCACCUAAUGAGAUGGAAACAAAUAAUUCAACCCAAAGAGGUAAGGCAAUAAGAGCGACCUGGAUUUAUGUCUGUUUCUUCUGCUGUGUCCUUGCUCUGUGACCUUGGACAAAUCACUUAACCUCUCUGAGCCCCCGUUUUCUCAUUUGUAAAAACAGACCUGAGAUGGUUAUGUAAGGUGUUAACAUCGGGGGAAACUGAGUUAUCCUUGCAACUGUUGUGUAAAUCUAGAAUUAUUCCAAAGUUUAAAUUUUUCUUAUUUAAAAAAAAUAGGCAGAAGGGCAAUUACCUUGGGAGACUGUGAAGAUAAAAUGAGAUAAAGAGGUGUGGAAAGCAUGUAGUUCGGUGCUUUUCUUUUGCCCCCCCAGGCAUCUCCCUUCACCUACACCUUCAAACUCGCUGAACACCUGGAGAAUCAGGAGGUAUGUUUUCUGGACUGCAAUGCCAGCAGGUUCACCAGCCUGACAGCACUGUAAUUCAGAGCCUUGCUGCCAAGCCAAAACCCUCCCAGCAAGAAGGUUGGUUUUACAUGGUCCUAGGAUCUAAUAAAUGUGUCACACGUUGCCA
rnacentral:lncRNA from 1 species